ensembl:lncRNA
UCCAUGCGUACAUGCAUAAAUACAUGUUAUGAGUCAUCUUAGAAGUACUUAUCUCGUGUCAUUUUUUUGGCACUGGGGAUUGAAUUCGGGUCCUUGUGCUUGCAAGCAGGCGGCGAAACCACUGAGCUAAAUCCCCGGCCCCUCUUGUGUCACUCUUAAAAGACCAAACAUCAUAAUGUGAUUGUGACUUCUCUCUCCAGCCUCACUUUUCCUUCCUGUCCUGCUUCCCAGUUGUACCCAAUGACUUAGCUUCUUGGAUGCCGUAUGCAUUCCCCAGCUAGCACAUCUUAGACACACACUUCCAGUUCAUCCUUCACCUACUGGUCCCAGCCCCAGUGAACAGAUUCUGAGAGUUGCACUCCCAUGACACACUGUGCCACACUUACUCAGACCACCAAGAUUUUUGUAGCACCAUCAAGAUCUAUAGUACAUUCUGGGGAUUCUGACUCGCAAGCAAGGAAACUUGGUAUGAGUGUGGGAGAAAGGUGUAAACAAUAAUUAAAAUAGAGUAGCAUUUUGGGAGAAAGCACAGCUGCACUUCCUGAAGCCAGCCUCAAGCUGUAUGUCACUUGCUAUUACCCCACUAGCCAGCAAUUCUCUGUAGCCACUGGUGGCCCACUCAAGUGUUUACACAGUGAGCAAGAAAUAUGAAUGUCUGAAUGGGGCUGGGUGUGAGGUAAGAGCUCAUGCUAGGACCAGCGGCCAAUUGGAAAGAACAUGUCCUGUCUAAAAGCACUCAAGUUCUUCUUUUCAAAUGCCAUACCUGCAAAAUAGAAUAUACUUGUAGGCCUAAUUAGGUUCAGGCUGUCAGGUUGAGACUUCUGUAUAAGAAUGUUAAUGAUAUUGGUUAUUUACUAGAUGUAGGUUAUUAUUAUUUUACACAUCUGACCGUAUUUGUUCCUCACAAGCAUUGAGGCUGACAUGAUUCUGUAUAUUUUACAAACUUGCUGAGAUUACAUGGUGGUCAGGAAGGCAGGGCAGGGACUCCAGAAUCCACUCCUAAGGGCAGUGUUUUACAUCACUGUACUCUAUUGCUCUGCAUCUAAACUAUUUCAAUUUCUUUCAGCUUAUACUAAAGAAUGUCACAUAUUUAAUAGUCUAUUGUGCUACUAUUCCUUUUUGCUGUUGAACAAACUCUUUUUAACUGGUAUGUACAAUGGAAAAAUUCAAGUCCACCUAUCUACCUAUUCACUGUUCUAUAAAUAUAGUCACAUUCCCUGUCUACCACCACUUUUCUCAUUUGAAGGGUUCUAAUUUUUGAGAAAUAAUUUUACAGUUAUCCAAGAAAUGUAUGUUCACUAAAGAAGAAAGUAGGUAGAGUGUCCACAUUAUUUUAAUGUAUUCAGCCCUCAUCUGCUCUUCCCUCCUUCUGACCCAUUUCCAGUAGCCUCCCCAGCUCUGGGUGUGUAUGGUUUCUUGCUCUGUUCUCCUUACUAAAAAAACCAGUAGGAUAUUUUGUUUUAUUUUAUUUUCAAUAACCAUCUGCAUAAUGUUUACAACUCUGUGGAUCUUUCUGGACAAAACUUUCUUAGGCCAGUGUCUUCAGAGAAAUCCAAUUUGUACGACCUAAAACAAAUACAAGGGCACAUAAGGUAUACUGAAAUGGGCAAAAUACAUACUCCCGUCUCUGAUCUUAAUUCAAAGUGUUUCACUAGACUAGAGGAUGUGGCCACUUUUUAUUCACAAGCUUUCCUUAGAACGCUGGCCGUUACAUUCUGUUCUUUGUAUAUCCUGCUCCUUUGGCCAGGACCUCCCCACAAGAACGUCCACACUCUGUCCAAGCCCUGGCUCCUACCCAACCUUCCUGACACAUUCACAUGCCGCCGCCUCUGGGAAACCUUCUCUGACCUCCAAGGCAGGUCACUUAGACUCUCAAGAGGAAACAUGUCCCAUUUCCUUGC